GUCUACAGCCAUGCCCCCCUGAACGUGCCCGAUCUCGUCUGAUCUCGGAAGCUAAGCAGGGUGGGGCCUAGUUAGUACUUAUGGGAGACCACCUAGGAAGACCAGGUGCUGUAGGCG
rnacentral:rRNA from 1 species